GACGAACGCUGGCGGCGUGCUUAACACAUGCAAGUCGAACGGAAAGGCCCUGCUUUUGUGGGGUGCUCGAGUGGCGAACAGGUGAGUAACACGUGAGUAACCUGCCCUUGACUUUGGGAUAACUUCAGGAAACUGAGGCUAAUACCGGAUAGGAGCUCCUGCUGCAUGGUGGGGGUUGGAAAGUUUCGGCGGUUGGGGAUGGACUCGCGGCUUAUCAGCUUGUUGGUGGGGUAGUGGCUUACCAAGGCUUUGACGGGUAGCCGGCCUGAGAGGGUGACCGGCCACAUUGGGACUGAGAUACGGCCCAGACUCCUACGGGAGGCAGCAGUGGGGAAUAUUGCACAAUGGGCGGAAGCCUGAUGCAGCAACGCCGCGUGCGGGAUGACGGCCUUCGGGUUGUAAACCGCUUUCGCCUGUGACGAAGCGUGAGUGACGGUAAUGGGUAAAGAAGCACCGGCUAACUACGUG
rnacentral:rRNA from 1 species